ACACUUAUCUAAUAAAGAACAUUAAUUUCGACUUAAUAAAUUUUGGUUUAAAUCCAAAAGCGUCUA
rnacentral:tRNA from 1 species